rnacentral:rRNA from 1 species
UCAAGAAACUUCCACAAUGGGCGAAAGCCUGAUGGAGCGACGUCGCGUGAUGGACGAAGUGCUUCGGCACGUAAACAUCUUUUUAUGUGGGAUGAAAUUAUUGACAGUACCACAUGAAUAAGGGGCUCCUAACUCUGUGCCAGCAGGAGCGGUAAUACAGAGGCCCCAAGCGUUAUCCGGAAUCACUGGGCGUAAAGGGUGUCGAGGCGGUUGUAUUAGUCGUUCGUAAAAUCUACGAGCUUAACUUGUAGGCGGCGAACGAAACGGUACGACUUGAGGUUUGGAGAGGUGCGUGGAACUCACGGUGUAGGGGUGAAAUCCGUUGAUAUCGUGGGGAACACCAAAGGCGAAGGCAGCGCACUGGCCAAAAUCUGACGCUCACACACGAAAGCUAGUGUAGCGAAGAGGAUUAGAUACCCGCGUAGUCCCUGAGCGGGCUGGCAAGGCGCAU